GUGACAAUGAGUUAAUUGGCUAAACUAUGGCACUUCCAAUGCUAUUAUGCGUGUUCGAGCCACGCUUGUCAUA
rnacentral:tRNA from 1 species